rnacentral:rRNA from 1 species
UGGACAGGGAGACAGGUGGUGCAUGGUUGUCGUCAGCUCGUGUCGUGAGAUGUGGUUAAGUCCCGCAACGAGCGCAACCCCUACGUUUAGUUGCUAACGCGUGAAGGCGAGCACUCUAGACGAACUGCCGUUGACAAAACGGAGGAAGGUGGGGAUGACGUCAAAUCAUCAUGCCCCUUAUGUUCUGGGCUACACACGUGCUACAAUGGCCGGUACAGACGGACGCAAAGCCGCGAGGUGGAGCAAAUCCUAAAAAGCCGGUCUCAGUUCGGAUUGCAGGCUGCAAUUCGCCUGCAUGAAGUCGGAAUCGCUAGUAAUCGCAGGUCAGCAUACUGCGGUGAAUACGUUCCCGGGCCUU